CAACUUUCAGCAACGGAUCUCUUGGCUCUCGCAUCGAUGAAGAACGCAGCGAAAUGCGAUAAGUAAUGUGAAUUGCAGAAUUCAGUGAAUCAUCGAAUCUUUGAACGCACCUUGCGCCCUUUGGAUAUUCCGAAGGGCAUGCCUGUUUGAGUAUCG
rnacentral:rRNA from 1 species